UACGUAGGGGGCAAGCGUUGUCCGGAAUCAUUGGGCGUAAAGAGCGUGUAGGCGGUCCGGUAAGUCGGCUGUGAAAGUCCAGGGCUCAACCCUGGGAUGCCGGUCGAUACUGCCGGACUAGAGUUCGGAAGAGGCGAGUGGAAUUCCCGGUGUAGCGGUGAAAUGCGCAGAUAUCGGGAGGAACACCUAUGGCGAAGGCAGCUCGCUGGGACGUUAACUGACGCUGGAGACGCGAAAGCGUGGGGAGCAAACAGG
rnacentral:rRNA from 1 species